rnacentral:rRNA from 1 species
UUCCCUACGGGAGGCAGCAGUGGGGAAUAUUGCACAAUGGGGGAAACCCUGAUGCAGCGACGCCGCGUGAAGGAAGAAGUAUUUCGGUAUGUAAACUUCUAUCAGCAGGGAAGAAAAUGACGGUACCUGACUAAGAAGCCCCGGCUAACUACGUGCCAGCAGCCGCGGUAAUACGUAGGGGGCAAGAGUUAUCCGGAUUUACUGGGUGUAAAGGGAGCGUAGACGGAAAGGCAAGUCAGAAGUGAAAGCCCAAGGCUCAACCAUGGGACUGCUUUUGAAACUGUCAAACUAGAGUACGGGAGAGG